rnacentral:tRNA from 1 species
UUUAAAUAGUUUAAUUUAAAAAUUUUGGUUUGUGGUACCGAAGAUAUAAUAGAAUUUAUUUUAAAUCA